rnacentral:rRNA from 1 species
AGUUAGUUGGUGAGGUAAUGGCUCACCAAGACAAUGACACCUAACUGGUUUGAGAGGAUGAUCAGUCACACUGGAACUGAGACACGGUCCAGACUCCUACGGGAGGCAGCAGUGGGGAAUAUUGCACAAUGGAGGAAACUCUGAUGCAGCAACGCCGCGUGGAGGAUGACACAUUUCGGUGCGUAAACUCCUUUUAUAUGAGAAGAUAAUGACGGUAUCAUAUGAAUAAGCACCGGCUAACUCCGUGCCAGCAGCCGCGGUAAUACGGGGGGUGCAAGCGUUACUCGGAAUCACUGGGCGUAAAGCGAGCGCAGGCGGAUAGAAAAGUCAGAAGUGAAAUCCUAUAGCUUAACUAUAGAACUGCUUCUGAAACUCUCUAUCUAGAAUAUGGGAGAGGUAGAUGGAAUUUCUGGUGUAGGGGUAAAAUCCGUAGAGAUCAGANGAAUACCGAUUGCGAAGGCGAUCUACUGGAACAUUAUUGACGCUGAGCUCGAAAGCGUGGGGAGCAAACAGGAUUAGAUACCCUGGUAGUCCACGCCCUAAACGAUGCACACUAGUUGUUGCUAUGCUAGACAUAGCAGUAAUGCAGUUAACACAGUAAGUGUGCCGCCUGGGGAGUACGGUCGCAAGAUUAAAACUCAAAGGAAUAGACGGGGACCCGCACAAGCGGUGGAGCAUGUGGUUUAAUUCGACGAUACGCGAAGAACCUUACCUGGCCUUGACAUAGAUAGAACUUUCUAGAGAUAGAUUGGUGCUAGCUUGCUAGAACUAUCAUACAGGUGCUGCACGGCUGUCGUCAGCUCGUGUCGUGAGAUGUUGGGUUAAGUCCCGCAACGAGCGCAACCCUCGUGUUUAGUUACUAACAGUUCGGCUGAGGACUCUAGACAGACUGCCUGGGCAACCAGGAGGAAGGUGAGGACGACGUCAAGUCAUCAUGGCCCUUACGGCCAGGGCUACACACGUGCUACAAUGGGGUAUACAAAGAGCAGCAAUACCGCGAGGUGGAGCAAAUCUCAUAAAAUAUCUCCCAGUUCGGAUAGCAGUCUGCAACUCGACUGCUUGAAGUUGGAAUCGCUAGUAAUCGUAGAUCAGCAAUGCUACGGUGAAUACGUUCCCGGGUCUUGUACUCACCGCCCGUCA